AGCUUCGCACGGUGGCGGCGUUGUAGCCAAUGAGGUUUGUCAGAGGCACAAUUAUUUCCAGUUGAAAACCUUUCCCAAUACCCUACCUUGAGGAUUGAAACACAGAUGCCUGA
ensembl:snRNA U4 U4 spliceosomal RNA